rnacentral:lncRNA from 1 species
GGCAGACUGGCGCUUCAGUUCACAGCACGGUCUCUUGCUGCUUCUAAUGAGGCUUCGUUAACAGUGGCUUGCAAGAAGAUGCACCCAUUUAUCUUGUGGCUUCAAAAGCCCCAACCACACCGCCAUGUGUCCCCUGGAAAGUGCAUGCCCGAGACUGAGAAAUGUGGAUUUUCCCUUGAUGCCCAGCUAAUCAGCCGCUCCCCUGCUUCAAACGUUCACAGGCCCCCGACUGCUCUCAGGAUCAAGUCCAGUCUCCCUGAGCCAGCGUUCAAGGCCUCUGUGAUCCGGCCUCACUCCACUUUUCCUGCCCCAUUUCCCAUCACUCAUCACCCACGCCUGCCUCCUGAAGUCUCCCUUCCAGCACACUCCUUUUGGGUCCCUGACCACCCUGUGCUCUUGCUGCUUCCACACCCUUCCUCGUGGCGUUUCCUUUCCUCUGUCCCAUUCUUUGCCUGAAGAAAUCUUCCUCAAACCUCGAGACCCGACUCACAGGCCUGUCACAUCCCUGGAGCAUCCCCCACUUCAUCUUUGUCCGCACAUUCCUGCCACCGCUUCCACUCGGUCUUACCUGACUGUCUGUCUGGCAUCCCAGGCAGCCUGUGAGCUCCUCAGUGGCAGACACUGUCAGAAGCCUACCCCACAGCCAUUCUCCUCUUCCUACUUUCUAACACAAGACCAAUUGUAUUUAGAGGAAUCAUGAUUAGACUAAACCACUCAUGGUGGUCCCAUUGUCCUCUGCCAGCAAAAGGACACAGUAAGAAAGAAAGUUGAGUACGUGACUCAGUUCUGGUCAUGAGGAUGCAGAGAAGAGACCAGGGACCUUGCUCUCCCUCUCUCUCCGCCGUGUGAGAACACAGCCAGAAGAUGGCCAACUGCUGCCAGGAGAGACCUCUCACCAGGGACUGAAUCCUGAACCUUGAUCUUGGACUUCCAGCCUCCAGAAAUCCCAUGGAGUUCAUGACCCAUCAAUACAUCGUGAC